UAUUUUCCACUUUUCCACAUUUUUUUUUCUUUUCUUUCCCCGUUACUGUGUCUUUCUCUCACUCCCUACACUGGUAGUUUCUCCCUCAUAGCUCUCACUUCAUCUUCAACAAUGAAAUCCAACGGAAAAAGCCACAAAUCCAUCACCGGAAAAUCCUCUCCGCGUCGGAUUUUGCAAAGAUCGCAAAUCAUCAUCAGGAAUGAGUGGUUCACCGAAGAAAGGAGGCCACUGAGGGAAGUUCACGAAGAGAUCAUCAUCGCCAACUCCUUCACCGCCGCGGUUACCGUUUGAUUGCGGUGGUUGUGUUGGAGUUUGCUUAAUCUAGAUUUAGAUUUAUGUUUAUGUGAUUUUGUAUAUGGUUUUGUAAAUUAAUCAGUUAUAUAAAAGUAGUUUAAAGUUUCCAUGACUAUUCAAAUUUGUUAUGGUGAUUAUGAACGACGGUGGUCUCUCACUGGUGGUGGUGAUUGACGAGCUGGAGAAGAAGGGUGAACUGUGUUUACUGUUUAGAGAUGGGGGAGAAAGAAAGAUGAAGACGAUAAGAGAGAGAGGUUGCAGCUGAAAAAUCAAUUAUACCCCUAGAUUUUAAUGGAAAUUAUGAGUUUGCCCCUGAUGUCGUAUUUGUGUCUAAAAAUACGUGUUUAUA
rnacentral:lncRNA from 1 species